rnacentral:rRNA from 1 species
CCUGCGGCAGUUUUGCUGUUAGGCAAUGUGGUGUUUGGGUCGGCUCGUGGGAUUGCCACUCCACUCGAAGUCCAGCAUUGAGUAUGGUUCCCUGGAUUUGGCCCAGAGAGGGUGAAAGGCCCGUGCGAGUGGACGUUUCAGACAUGUAAGGCAAUUCACCAGGCCGGCCUUAGAGUCGGGUUGUUUGAGAAUGCAGCCCUAAGUGGGUGGUAAACUCCAUCCAAGGCUAAAUACAAGCACGAGUCCGAUAGCGAACAAGUACCGUGAGGGAAAGUUGAAAAGUACUUUGAAGAGAGAGUAAACAGCACGUGAAACCGCAUAGAGGUAAACGGGUGGCGUCAAGCUGCAAGCCCAGAGGAUUCAGUCGGUCAGGAUGUUGUGUAUGCGCCUGGCGCAUCUAUCAGUCGGUGUUAGAUCGGGUAGUCCGCCGGGAAACGGUGGGCCCACCGCAAGGUUGGGAUUUGCGUUCCGGGUGACUGCCGGAGCAUGCUGCCUAUCUGUUGGACUGUCUGGCCGAUGCACUUCCUCUGUUAUGGUGAACACCACGACCGGUGGUACUGCCAGUCUGUUGUGGCCAAGUUGUAUCUAGUUGGCAUUUAUUGUCACCUGGGUGCAAUCACAGGCGAUGUCACUGUUCGGCGUUCGGGCGCUCGCGUCAGUUCGUGUUAUCGGGCAGUGCUCGUGAACGGGUCGGUUCGUCGGUUGUUGCAAUCGCCGGCGGAUGGCUUGGUGGGCCAUGAUGGUAAGAAUAACUGUGCAGGGCACCGGAGUUCUCGGUCUCUAAUCCGGCUCGCAUACACAUUGCAAGUGGUGUGGAGCGUUAUUGCGGCCUGCCUGUGGUUGGGUCUGUUUGUCGUGUCGCCUGCACAAAGUAGGCCCGGCAUUGGCCUAGCUCUGGUUGGAGUCGUGGAUGGCGUUUCCUGUGUGAGUUGGUGUGGACCAAACAUCUGUGGUGUAGUGGUAGACUAGCCACCCGACCCGUCUUGAAACACGGACCAAGGAGUUUAACAUGCGCGCGAGUCAUGGGGUCCUACGAAACCCAAAGGCGCAGUGAAAGUGAAGCCUCGACUUGUUCUCGGGGUGUGGUGAGAUCCUGCUGUUACUCGCAUCUGCACUUGUGCAUUGUGUCAGCACCAGGCAAAGAGCGGCAGGCGCAUCACCGGCCCGUCCCAUGAUGUGGUCAUUGGUCGGUUGUUGU